UACGAAGGGGGCUAGCGUUGCUCGGAAUCACUGGGCGUAAAGCGCACGUAGGCGGCGUCUUAAGUCAGUGGUGAAAUCCUGGAGCUCAACUCCAGAACUGCCUCUGAUACUGAGAUGCUUGAGUCCGGGAGAGGUGAGUGGAACUGCGAGUGUAGAGGUGAAAUUCGUAGAUAUCGGGAGGAACACCAGUGGCGAAGGCGGCGACCUGGGCCAAUACUGACGCUGAGGUGCGAAAGCGUGGGGAGCAAACGGG
rnacentral:rRNA from 1 species